rnacentral:lncRNA from 1 species
AUUUUCCACCUGCGCAGGGAUUUUAUCCAAUACCUCCUGGUGGAGCGUUUAACAUACAACAGAUUUUGCCUGCUGAAAAUGUGCAGGCUUCGUCAGAAGGGCAGAAGGAACUCCACAGCUGGGAACUAAGUGACAAGUUUGGCUGCUUAAGUGUCACCGGUAAUUUAGACAAUGUCCUACCAGAAGAUAGGACAAUUUUUUUAACCUUCUCGAGAGGAUACCCUAUUUCUGAAUUGGAACUUAGAAAUUACUUUACUAGG